rnacentral:rRNA from 1 species
AAUGAACGCUGGCGGCGUGCCUAACACAUGCAAGUCGUACGAGAAAUCCCGAGCUUGCUUGGGAGAGUAAAGUGGCGCACGGGUGAGUAACGCGUGGGUAACCCACCCUCGAAUCUGGGAUAACUCCGCGAAAGCGGUGCUAAUACCGGAUAAGACCACAUUCCGUUUGCGGAAAGAGGUAAAAGCUGACCUCUCCAUGGAAGUUAGCGUUCGAGGACGGGCCCGCGUCCUAUCAGCUUGUUGGUGGGGUAAUGGCCUACCAAGGCAGCGACGGGGUAGCUGGUCUGAGAGGAUGAUCAGCCACACUGGAACUGGAACACGGUCCAGACUCCUACGGGAGGCAGCAGUGAGGAAUUUUGCGCAAUGGGGGAAACCCUGACGCAGCAACGCCGCGUGGGUGAAGAAGGCUUUCGGGUCGUAAAGCCCUGUCAGGUGGGAAGAAACUCUUCAGUACUAAUAAUGCUGAAGCCUGACGGUACCACCAGAGGAAGCACCGGCCAACUCCGUG